rnacentral:misc_RNA from 2 species
AAGUCGUAACAAGGUUUCCGUAGGUGAACCUGCGGAAGGAUCAUUAUUGUAGGGACUCCGGUCCCCUCAAGAUGCAACCCGUGCCUUUUUUGUAGCCCGUAACGUUUCCUCGGCAGCCCCGCUGCCAGCGAGGACCCCCCCAAACCAAACCUGCAAUCUCAGUAAAAAAUUCAGAAACCCCCCAAAAUUUAAAACUUUCAACAAUGGAUCUCUUGGCUCUG